UUAGGUCAGCGGCGGACGGGUGAGUAACACGUGGGUAACCUGCCUGUAAGACUGGGAUAACUCCGGGAAACCGGGGCUAAUACCGGAUGCUUGAUUGAACCGCAUGGUUCAAUNAUNAAAGGUGGCUUUUAGCUACCACUUNCAGAUGGACCCGCGGCGCAUUAGCUAGUUGGUGAGGUAACGGCUCACCAAGGCGACGAUGCGUAGCCGACCUGAGAGGGUGAUCGGCCACACUGGGACUGANACACGGCCCAGACUCCUACGGGAGGCAGCAGUAGGGAAUCUUCCGCAAUGGACGAAAGUCUGACGGANCAACGCCGCGUGAGUGAUGAAGGUUUUCGGAUCGUAAAACUCUGUUGUUAGGGAAGAACAAGUACCGUUCGAAUAGGGCGGNACCUUGACGGUACCUAACCAGAAAGCCACGGCUAACUACGUGCCAGCAGCCGCGGUAAUACGUAGGUGGCAAGCGUUGUCCGGAAUUAUUGGGCGUAAAGCGCGCGCAGGCGGUUUCUUAAGUCUGAUGUGAAAGCCCCCGGCUCAACCGGGGAGGGUCAUUGGAAACUGGGGAACUUGAGUGCAGAAGANGAGAGUGGAAUUCCACGUGUAGCGGUGAAAUGCGUAGAGAUGUGGAGGAACACCAGUGGCGAAGGCGACUCUCUGGUCUGUAACUGACGCUGAGGCGCGAAAGCGUGGGGAGCGAACAGGAUUAGAUACCCUGGUAGUCCACGCCGUAAACGAUGAGUGCUAAGUGUUAGAGGGUUUCCGCCCUUUAGUGCUGCAGCAAACGCAUUAAGCACUCCGCCUGGG
rnacentral:rRNA from 1 species